rnacentral:rRNA from 1 species
GAGUUUGAUCAUGGCUCAGAAUCAACGCUGGCGGCGUGCCUAACACAUGCAAGUCGCACGAGAAAGGGACUUCGGUCUUGAGUAAAGUGGCGCACGGGUGAGUAACACGUGACUAAUCUACCCUCGAGUGGGGAAUAACUGAGAGAAAUCUUAGCUAAUACCGCAUAACACUUACGAGUCAAAGCAGCAAUGCGCUUGGGGAGGAGGUCGCGGCCGAUUAGCUAGUUGGCGGGGUAAUGGCCCACCAAGGCGAUGAUCGGUAUCCGGCCUGAGAGGGCGCACGGACACACUGGAACUGAAACACGGUCCAGACUCCUACGGGAGGCAGCAGUGGGGAAUUUUGCGCAAUGGGGGAAACCCUGACGCAGCAACGCCGCGUGGAGGAUGAAGUGUCUUGGUACGUAAACUCCUUUCGAUGGGGAGGAUAAUGACGGUACCCAUAGAAGAAGCCCCGGCUAACUUCGUGCCAGCCGCCGCAGUAAC